rnacentral:rRNA from 1 species
GCUGGCGGCAGGCCUAACACAUGCAAGUCGAGCGGUAACAGAGAUAGCUUGCUAUCUGCUGACGAGCGGCGGACGGGUGAGUAAUGCUUGGGAAUAUGCCUUUUGGUGGGGGACAACAGUUGGAAACGACUGCUAAUACCGCAUAACGUCUACGGACCAAAGUGGGGGACCUUCGGGCCUCACGCCAAGAGAUUAGCCCAAGUGGGAUUAGCUAGUUGGUGAGGUAAUGGCUCACCAAGGCGACGAUCCCUAGCUGGUUUGAGAGGAUGAUCAGCCACACUGGAACUGAGACACGGUCCAGACUCCUACGGGAGGCAGCAGUGGGGAAUAUUGCACAAUGGGCGCAAGCCUGAUGCAGCCAUGCCGCGUGUGUGAAGAAGGCCUUCGGGUUGUAAAGCACUUUCAGUCAGGAGGAAAGGUUGGUAGUUAAUAGCUACCAGCUGUGACGUUACUGACAGAAGAAGCACCGGCUA